AUUUAACGCUGGCGGCAGGCCUAACACAUGCAAGUCGAGCGAGCGGCUGACGGGUGAGUAAUGUCUGGGAUACUGCCUGAUGGAGGUGGCUAACUACUGGAAACGGUCGCUAAUACCGCAUACCCUCAGAUUUGCCCCUAUGGGAUUAGCUUGUAUGUGGGGUAACGGGUCACCUGGGCGACGAGCCCUAGCUGGGCUGAGAGGAUGACCCGCCACACUGGAAGUGAGACACGGUCCAGACUACUACGGGAGGCAGCAGUGGGAAAUAUUGCACAAUGGGCGCAAGCCGGAUGCAGGCAUGCCGCGUGUGUUAAGAAGGCCUUCGGGUUGUAAAGUACGUUCAGCGGGGAGGCGUUACCCGAAGAAGAAGCACCGGCUAACUACGUGCCAGCCGCCGCGGUAAUUC
rnacentral:rRNA from 1 species